UACGAAGGGGGCUAGCGUUGUUCGGAAUCACUGGCGUAAAGCGCACGUAGGCGGAUCUUUAAGUCAGAGGUGAAAUCCCAAGGCUCAACCUUGGAACUGCCUUUGAUACUGGGGAUCUUGAGUCCGGGAGAGGUGAGUGGAACUGCGAGUGUAGAGGUGAAAUUCGUAGAUAUUCGCAAGAACACCAGUGGCGAAGCGGCUCACUGGCCGGUACUGACGCUGAGGUGCGAAAGCGUGGGGAGCAAACAGG
rnacentral:rRNA from 1 species